rnacentral:rRNA from 1 species
UAAUACGGAGGGUGCGAGCGUUAAUCGGAAUUACUGGGCGUAAAGCGUACGCAGGCGGUUUGUUAAGCGAGAUGUGAAAGCCCCGGGCUCAACCUGGGAACUGCAUUUCGAACUGGCAAACUAGAGUGUGAUAGAGGGUGGUAGAAUUUCAGGUGUAGCGGUGAAAUGCGUAGAGAUCUGAAGGAAUACCGAUGGCGAAGGCAGCCACCUGGGUCAACACUGACGCUCAUGUACGAAAGCGUGGGGAGCAAACAGGAUUAGAUACCCUGGUAGUCCACGCCGUAAACGAUGUCUACUAGAAGCUCGGAACCUCGGUUCUGUUUUUCAAAGCUAACGCAUUAAGUAGACCGCCUGGGGAGUACGGCCGCAAGGUUA